rnacentral:misc_RNA from 1 species
GAUGAAGAACGCAGCGAAAUGCGAUAAGUAAUGUGAAUUGCAGAAUUCAGUGAAUCAUCGAAUCUUUGAACGCACAUUGCGCCCGCCAGUAUUCUGGCGGGCAUGCCUGUUCGAGCGUCAUUUCAACCAUCAAGCCCCCGGCUUGUGUUGGGGACCCUGCGGCUGCCCGCAGGCCCUGAAAACCAGUGGCGGGCUCGCUGUCACUCCGAGCGUAGUAGCAUAUAUCUCGCUCAGGGCGUGCUGCGGGUUCCGGCCGUUAAAAGCCUUUUUUUUACCCAAGGUUGACCUCGGAUCAGGUAGGAAGACCCGCUGAACUUAAGCAUAUCAUAAGCGGAGGA